CACUGGAAGCAGCCUCAGAAGACAUUCUUCUGAUUUCUGAAAUUUACUCAGGUCAAACUCAUCCAGCUCCUCUUCUGAAUUCAGCAUCACAAACGCCACAGCUGACCACUCAGCAGGAGAGAGAUCAGCUCUUCUGAGAUAACUGGAUCCUCCUUCUCUGUUCAGGUACUGUUGGACUUCCUGCACUAGAGAAUGAUCAUUCAGUUCAUUCAGACAGUGGAACAGACUGAUCGUUUU